rnacentral:tRNA from 1 species
GGGGUUGUAGCUCAGCAGUAGAGCGCUCAUCUAGCAUGGGUGAGAGGCCCUGGGUUCGAUCCUCAGCACCA